UGGGGAAUAUUGCACAAUGGGCGCAAGCCUGAUGCAGCCAUGCCGCGUGUGUGAAGAAGGCCUUCGGGUUGUAAAGCACUUUCAGCGGGGAGGAAGGCGUUAAGGUUAAUAACCUUGGCGAUUGACGUUACCCGCAGAAGAAGCACCGGCUAACUCCGUGCCAGCAGCCGCGGUAAUACGGAGGGUGCAAGCGUUAAUCGGAAUUACUGGGCGUAAAGCGCACGCAGGCGGUCUGUCAAGUCGGAUGUGAAAUCCCCGGGUUCAACCUGGGAACUGCAUUCGAAACUGGCAGGCUAGAGUCUUGUAGAGGGGGGUAGAAUUCCAGGUGUAGCGGUGAAAUGCGUAGAGAUCUGGAGGAAUACCGGUGGCGAAGGCGGCCCCCUGGACAAAGACUGACGCUCAGGUGCGAAAGCGUGGGGAGCAAACAGG
rnacentral:rRNA from 1 species